GCGGGUAUAGUUUAGUGGUAGAAUGUGACCUUCCCAAGGUUAAGAUAUGAGUUCGAUUCUCAUUACCCGCUCCA
rnacentral:tRNA from 2 species